rnacentral:lncRNA from 1 species
UUUCCCUCUCCUCCCGCUCUCCCUCCUUCCUCCCUUUCCUCCCUUCUUUUCCUUCCUCUUCUUUCCCUGUGUCUUUCUUUUUUCUUUGCUUCUCCCUUCCUUUUCUCUCCUUGUGUCUUUCUCGCUCUUGUUUUUCCUUUCUCUCCCUUGUGUACUGAGAAAGUGACAGUCCUUGGCUGUGGGUGGGCAGGAGUGACCCGCCCCGGAGAGCGGGGUCACCCUGGGUGACUCCUGGGUGCAGCUGUGAGCCCUGCCUGAGGCUUUUCCUGACCUCUGGGGAGGGCAGCUCAGCCUGGGGCUGGAGGUUGGGGCCAGCUCUGGAGGCUGGAGUGGCUGCUGGGCGGCGGGACAGGCGCCUCAGAAGUCACUGAGGCAUGGCCUCAGUGAGGCCGAGCUGGACGGGGCCCUGGUGCUGGUUUUCAGUGCCUCAGCGAGGCCGGGACCAGAGCUGCUAUUUCCAGAUGAGGCUGGCUCGCAUCUGCUCUGGCCGGGGCUCCAGGUCUGAGCCCUGGAACACGGCGUUCCCUUUCCAAGUCUGCAAAGCCUGUCUUAGGGGAGAGAAAAAGUUUCCUUCCACGCGGGUGGGGACGGCUAACCAUGUCCAGACACUGAGACGGUGCUCUGUGUGCUCAGCCCUCAGCCUGCACUGGCUUGGUGGCUUGGUGACCCGCCAGCAGGGUGGUACUGUCUGUGGGCUCUGCUCAAGCUCCUCUCAGAGCCAGGAGGAUGCCCGCCUGCUUGGGCUUGGCACCCAGCAUGUGCUUGGCAAAUGGCUUCUGGGAUGGAUGGAUGGAUGGAUGGGUGAAUGGAUAACGGAUGGAUGGAUAAUGGAUGGAUGGAUGGAUAAUAGAUGGAUGGAUAGAUAAUGAACAGAUGAUGGAUAAUGGAUGGAUGGAUGGAUAAUGGAUGGAUGGAUAAUGAACAGAUGAUGGAUAAUGGAUGGAUGGAUGGAUAAUGGAUGGAUGGAUAAUGAACAGAUGAUGGAUAAUGGAUGGAUGGAUGGAUAAUGG